UCCAUGUCUUCAUCGAACGGCAUACAAUUCUCACUUUUAAGGCUGACACUUGUAACUUUGUAACCACGGUAGCUUGUGAGAUGAAUUGCUAACAACUAGAUAGCCCUGUUUAAGAUUAUCGCACACAUAAGAAUUUACCCAGAGUCGGCAAAAAAUAAAUGUUCAGCUUCAAACUUGACAUUCAUACUUUUGGAUCAUUUUAAACGUUGCUGGUAAUCACGCUGGUGAUUCACAAAGAUGUUUAAAAUGAGGUUUGAAAGUUAUUUAUUAAAAAGUGGAGCGGCCACAUAAGUCGGUCGAAAAAUUAAUGGAAAAUUAUAAAAAUGUUGUAAAGUAAAAGUUUUAGAAUGUCAUUUUUUUUCUCAACUUCUACAAAUAUUAAUACAAGAGAAUCAUUGAAACUUCCUAAUGGUUAAUCAAAGAAUAUCAAGGAAGAAUGAAGUAAUUAUUGAAUGAAGAUAUAAUACUUACAAAGAGUUAUUGCAAUAUGGUUACUGAAUGAAGAUAUAAUACUUACAAAGGAUUAUUGCAAUAUGGUUACUGAAUGAAGAUAUAAUACUUACAAAGGAUUAUUGCAAUAUGGUUACUGAAUGAAGAUAUAAUACUUACAAAGGAUUAUUGCAAUAUGGUUAGUAUUAUUAUUACUUCUUUAUAAGAUUUGUAUUAAGAAUUUUAAUAUAUGAUGACUUUGUCACUCAUAUAUGAGUUCAUGAUUAUUCACUACAUGCACUACCAACUGAAUCAUUCGUUUUAAGUAAACAUAUAUUAUAAUUAUUAAUAAAAAU